AUAACACGACACCCUUCUCCUCUGCUCGGGUGACACUUCUCCAGCGACGAGCAGUCUUCUUCUGAUCGCACCGCGUUGCAGACAGUCUCUCUCACUCUUGCCUUCUCCGGUCCCUUGUCAUGGAGUGCUUAAAGACAAACUUUAUAAGAAAGUUGGAGCUGGUGCAAAAUCACACAGUUCUAUGUAAUCCAUCAGAUAGAUUAUGGACAGUCCCAAGAAGACUGGCAUAUUCACGUCAGCGUUCUGCUUGUUAUCGAGAAUGUCAUGCAUAUUUUAGUAAGAUAUACCCUGCAAAAUCAUGCUUUUAUGGACGUAAAUCUUCAAGGGCCUUUUCCAUAAGCUUGGGUGAGGAGCCUUCCUCGUUAUCAGAGGUGGAAAACAUAAGUGAUAUUGAUGACACUGUGCCAACUGAUUCUUCUGAGGAGGUCUUGCCACAAAAGUUGAAGUCUGAUGAGUUGAAGGCACUGCUGGUUGACACUGAAAGAAAAAAGCUUUUGAAGAAACUCAGCGAAGCUAAUCAAUACAACAGAUUUCUCAAAAGACAGUUGCUUAUGGAAGAGGAUGCAAUAGCCAAGUUCAAAAAUGAACUUGCUGUCUUGGAGCUUGAACUUCAGACUUUGGUUAGCUUAGCAGAAGAGAUAGCUAAUAGUGGGGUUCAGCCUGAUUCGAGGAAGAUAAAUGGGAGAUACAUUCAAUCCCAUCUCCUUGCCAGAUUAGAAGCGAUCCACGGAAAAGUUAAGGAGCAGAUAAAGGAUGUGGACACUUUGAAGUUUGAGGUUUCUUUAUUCUGGGUUGGGAUGGCUGAGAGUGUCCAUGUUAUGGGUUCCUUUGAUGGUUGGACUCAAGGAGAGGAGAUGUCACCAGAGUAUACUGGUGACUAUGCCAGAUUUUCAGCUACCCUCAAACUUAGACCUGGGAGGUAGCUUUCAUGGUUCGAAUAGGCGCACAUGAUCGAUCCACAGUCUCAAGUGGUAACGGUGUUAUGCAUUUAAAACUGCACUUCUUCAAUGGCUCGAACAGUUACUUUGGCAAUCGAGAUUAACACACCGAGUGGAGAUCGUCACCAACGACUAGGGAAAUCACACCGUCCCCUCCUAUUGUUUCCUUCACUAACAUGGAGCAUUUUAUUGGAGAACUGAACUAAAGAAGAGAGAACAAGAAGGACAACUUAGAGGGGAAGGAUUUCUCUCAGAGGUUAAUGCCCAAUUUCAUCAGUUAUUAUCAUGGUCAUCGGUGCAUGCAAUGUUGGCAUGUUACGUAUCAUUCUUGCUGCAUCAUGGACUAGGACUUCUGAUUCCGCACAAGGUGAUGAAAUACAGAUAGAAAUAUUCGUUUUUGUUUCUAGUGCCUUUGUUUCUUUUCUUUCCAGAGGAAUAUUUGGGCAUCAAUAAUAGGUCAUUCUCCAGUUAUGAGCACUAUGUUCAUGCCGUCACACUUAAUUCUCAUACUCACUACUGGAGCAAUAUAUGACCUGUUUGUGGUCGUUAAUCUUUCUGUUGGCUCCAAUGGGCAGCAGCAUAUGUCGUGGACACAGGUAUCUGUAUAUAGCCUUCUUCUUGAGAACUUGAUGGAUUGUUGGACGACAUGAAUAGCAAGAGUGUUUUUUA